UACGAAGGGGGCUAGCGUUGUUCGGAAUUACUGGGCGUAAAGCGCACGUAGGCGGAUCGAUCAGUCAGGGGUGAAAUCCCGCAGCUCAACUGCGGAACUGCCUUUGAUACUGUCGGUCUAGAGUAUGGAAGAGGUGAGUGGAAUUCCGAGUGUAGAGGUGAAAUUCGUAGAUAUUCGGAGGAACACCAGUGGCGAAGGCGGCUCACUGGUCCAUUACUGACGCUGAGGUGCGAAAGCGUGGGGAGCCAAACAGG
rnacentral:rRNA from 1 species